rnacentral:rRNA from 1 species
GAGUCUGAUCCUGGCUCAGGAUGAACGCUGGCGGCAUGCGUAACACAUGCAAGUUGAACGACGAUGCCAUGAAGUGGUAACACGGAGUGGUAUACGGAGUAGCGGACGGGUGAGUAAAGCAUGAGAAUCUGUCCUGCCGAGGGGGAUAACGUUCGGAAACGGACCCUAAUACCCCAUAGUCCGAGAGGUUAAAGGCAGCGAUGCGCGGCAGGAGGAGCUCGUGUCCUAUCAGCUGGUUGGUGAGGUAACGGCUCACCAAGGCAACGACGGGUAGCCGGCCUGAGAGGGUGACCGGCCACACUGGAACUGAGAUACGGUCCAGACUCCUACGGGAGGCAGCAGUGGGGAAUAUUGGGCAAUGGGAGGAAUCCUGACCCAGCGACGCCGCGUGAACGAAGACGGCCUUCGGGUUGUAAAGUUCUUUUAUGUGGGAAGAAUUAAAGAGACGUACCACCAUGAAUAAGCCCC